rnacentral:rRNA from 1 species
UGGGGAAUAUUGGACAAUGGGGGCAACCCUGAUCCAGCAAUGCCGCGUGUGUGAAGAAGGUCUUCGGAUUGUAAAGCACUUUCGACGGGGACGAUGAUGACGGUACCCGUAGAAGAAGCCCCGGCUAACUUCGUGCCAGCAGCCGCGGUAAUACGAAGGGGGCUAGCGUUGCUCGGAAUGACUGGGCGUAAAGGGCGUGUAGGCGGUUUACACAGUCAGAUGUGAAAUCCCCGGGCUUAACCUGGGAGCUGCAUUUGAUACGUGUAGACUAGAGUGUGAGAGAGGGUUGUGGAAUUCCCAGUGUAGAGGUGAAAUUCGUAGAUAUUGGGAAGAACACCGGUGGCGAAGGCGGCAACCUGGCUCAUGACUGACGCUGAGGCGCGAAAGCGUGGGGAGCAAACAGGAUUAGAUACCCUGGUAGUCCACGCUGUAAAACGAUGUGUGCUAGAUGUUGGGUAACUUUGUUACUCAGUGUCGCAGUUAACGCGUUAAAG